rnacentral:rRNA from 1 species
UGCAGUCGAGCGCACUCUUCGGUANUGAGCGGCGGACGGGUUAGUAACGCGUGGGAAUGUACCCUUCUCUAAGGAAUAGCCUCGGGAAACUGAGAGUAAUACCUUAUACGCCCUUCGGGGGAAAGAUUUAUCGGAGAAGGAUCAGCCCGCGUUAGAUUAGAUAGUUGGUGGGGUAAUGGCCUACCAAGUCUACGAUCUAUAGCUGGUUUUAGAGGAUGAUCAGCAACACUGGGACUGAGACACGGCCCAGACUCCUACGGGAGGCAGCAGUGGGGAAUCUUGGACAAUGGGCGCAAGCCUGAUCCAGCCAUGCCGCGUGAGUGAUGAAGGCCUUAGGGUCGUAAAGCUCUUUCGCCUGUGAUGAUAAUGACAGUAGCAGGUAAAGAAACCCCGGCUAACUCCGUGCCAGCAGCCGCGGUAAUACGGAGGGGGUUAGCGUUGUUCGGAAUUACUGGGCGUAAAGCGCGCGUAGGCUGACUAGUCAGUCAGAGGUGAAAUCCCAGGGCUCAACCCUGGAACUGCCUUUGAUACUGCUAGUCUUGAGUUCGAGAGAGGUAAGUGGAAUUCCGAGUGUAGAGGUGAAAUUCGUAGAUAUUCCGAGGAACACCAGUGG